UACAGAGGGUGCAAACGUUGUUCGGAAUUACUGGGCGUAAAGCGCGUGCAGGCGGCCUUGCAAGUCGGACGUGAAAUCCCACGGCUCAACCGUGGAAGUGCAUUCGAAACUGCGAGGCUGGAGUCCUGGAGAGGAAAGUGGAAUACUCGGUGUAGAGGUGAAAUUCGUAGAUAUCGAGUGGAACACCGGUGGCGAAGGCGGCUUCCUGGACCGACACUGACGCUGAGGCGCGAAAGCCAGGGGAGCAAACGGG
rnacentral:rRNA from 1 species